AAACCAACAGGGAUUGCCUCAGUAACGGCGAGUGAAGCGGCAAAAGCUCAAAUUUGAAAUCCCCCGGGAAUUGUAAUUUGAAGAGAUUUGGGUCCGGCCGGCAGGGGUUAAGUCCACUGGAAAGUGGCGCCACAGAGGGUGACAGCCCCGUGAACCCYCUCAACGCCUUCAUCCCAGAUCUCCAAGAGUCGAGUUGUUUGGGAAUGCAGCUCUAAGUGGGUGGUAAAUUCCAUCUAAAGCUAAAUACCGGCGAGAGACCGAUAGCGAACAAGUACAGUGAUGGAAAGAUGAAAAGCACUUUGAAAAGAGAGUGAAAAAGUACGUGAAAUUGUUGAAAGGGAAGGGCUUGCAAGCAGACACUUAACUGGGCCAGCAUCGGGGCGGCGGGAAACAAAACCACCGGGGAAUGUACCUUUCGAGGAUUAUAACCCCGGUCUCAAUUUCCUUGUUGCCCCGAGGCCUGCAAUCUAAGGAUGCUGGCGUAAUGGUUGCAAGUCGC
rnacentral:rRNA from 2 species